rnacentral:tRNA from 1 species
GGGGUGGUGGUCUAAUCUGGUAUGAUCCUUGGUUCGGGGCCGAGAGAUUGCCGGUUCAAAUCCGGCCCAUCCCA